GCGGCCCUCUCAACAGAGCGGCACCACACAGCACUCUUCCGCAUAGACCCCAAACUGGCCGAUCUGGGGGUAAAAGAAUUGGGCCCACAGGCACAGCGUAAACUUUUUGGUGAGGCCUUUAUGAAAGAGCUUAAUAAGCACGUUAACGUGUUCACCUCACUGAACAGAGCCCGCAUAUCCAUGCGCAAGGUCUUCAGAGGUAA